GUAGUCUCGCACAGAUGCAUAUCAAUAAGCGGAGGAAAAGAAACUAACUAGGAUUCCCUCAGUAACGGCGAGUGAAGCGGGAAGAGCUCAAAUUUGAAAUCUUCAAGGUUCUACCUUGACGAAUUGUAGUUUAAAGAAGUGUUUUCUGUUGGAGUUUUGGUAAAAGUUCUUUGGAAUAGGACAUCAUAGAGGGUGAGAAUCCCGUAUUUGACCAUUAUUUCCAGCUUUGUGAUACACUUUCAAAGAGUCGGAUUGUUUGGGAAUGCAGUCCAAAAUGGGUGGUAAAUUUCAUCUAAAGCUAAAUACUGGCGAGAGACCGAUAGCGAACAAGUACCGUGAGGGAAAGAUGAAAAGAACUUUGAAAAGAGAGUUAAACAGUACGUGAAAUUGUCAAAAGGGAAGCGUUUGACACCAGUGUUGUUUUCUCGAAAAUCAAUUAAAAAAGGCAGGAUUUUGUGUUGUAUUGACUUUAUCAGCUUCCUGCACUCUUUUCUUGUCUUUUUUUAAUGCACUUUUCGUUUAACAAGUCAACAUCAAUUUCUUUUGUUGUAAAAGGGUCAUUGGAAGGUGGCUUUCUUUUCGGAGAAAGUGUUUAUAGCCUUUGGCCUCUGCAAUCGGAGAGAUUGAGGUCUGCAGCGUAGAUCCUUCGGGGUUAGAUACAUUUGUGCUAAGUUAUAGCCUUUCAUAGACAACUUGUUGACUAUGAUCAGUCAUGUAGCUUACUCGCUUAUGCUAUUUUACCUACGCUUAGGAUGUUGAAGUCAUCGUAUCGCGC
rnacentral:rRNA from 1 species